rnacentral:rRNA from 1 species
CCUACGGGAGGCAGCAGUGAGGAAUAUUGGUCAAUGGGCGCGAGCCUGAACCAGCCAAGUCGCGUGAGGGAAGACGGCCCUACGGGUUGUAACCCUCUUUUGCCGGGGCGCAACGGGCGCCACGUGUGGCGCCACUGACAGUACCCGGCGACAAAGCAUCGGCUAACUCCGUGCCAGAAGCCCCGGUAAUACGCGGGAUGAGAGCGUUAUCCGGAUUUAUUGGGUUUAAGGGGAGCGUAGGCGGAGCGUAAAGUCCGUGGUAAAAUUGAGGGGCUCAACCCCUUCCCGCCAUUGAAACUGGCGCUCUUGAGUGGAAGAGAGGUAUGCGGAAUGCGGGGUGUAGCGGUGAAAUGCAUAGAGAUCACGCAGAACCCCGAUUGCGAAGGCAGCAUGCCGGCUUCCUACUGACGCUGAAGCACGAAAGCGUGGGGAUCGAACAGGAUUAGAUACCCGGGUAGUC